rnacentral:rRNA from 1 species
GACGGAGGGGGCAAGCGUUGUCCGGAAUCACUGGGCGUAAAGCGCACGUAGGCGGGACGGUGCGUCGGUGCUGAAAGCGCCAGGCUUAACCUGGCGAGGCGUGCCGAUACGACCGACCUCGAGGCAGACAGAGGGUGGCGGAAUUCCGGGUGUAGUGGUGAAAUGCGUAGAGAUCCGGAGGAACGCCGGUGGCGAAAGCGGCCACCUGGGUCUGACCUGACGCUGAGGCGCGAAAGCGUGGGGAGCAAACAGG